rnacentral:rRNA from 1 species
AUUGAACGCUGGCGGCAGGCCUAACACAUGCAAGUCGAACGAGUGGUGGACGGGUGAGUAAUGUAUGGGAAACUGCCUGAUGGAGGGGGAUAAAUACUGGAAACGGUAGCUAAUACCGCAUACCAUCGGAUGUGCCCAGAUGGGAUUAGCUAGUAGGUGGGGUAAAGGCUCACCUAGGCGCCGAUCCCUAGCUGGUCUGAGAGGAUGGACGGCCACACUGGAACUGAGACACGGUCCAGACUCCUACGGGUGGCAGCAGUGGGGAAUAUUGCACAAUGGGCGCAAGCCUGAUUCAGCCAUGCCGCGUGUAUGAAGAAGGCCUUCGGGUUGUAAAGUACUUUCAGCGGGGAGGCGUUACCCGCAGAAGAAGCACCGGCUAACUCCGUGCCAGCAGCCGCGGUAAUAC